AGUAUUGAACUGAAGAGUUUGAUCAUGGCUCAGAUUGAACGCUGGCGGCAGGCCUAACACAUGCAAGUCGAGCGGAUGAAGAGAGCUUGCUCUCUGAUUCAGCGGCGGACGGGUGAGUAAUGCCUAGGAAUCUGCCUGAUAGUGGGGGACAACGUUUCGAAAGGAACGCUAAUACCGCAUACGUCCUACGGGAGAAAGCAGGGGACCUUCGGGCCUUGCGCUAUCAGAUGAGCCUAGGUCGGAUUAGCUAGUUGGUGAGGUAACGGCUCACCAAGGCGACGAUGGAUAGCUGGUCUGAGAGGACGAUCAGCCACACUGGGACUGAGACAUGGUCCAG
rnacentral:rRNA from 1 species